AAGNNGCUCAAUUGGAUAGAGUACUUGACUACGAAUCAAGUGGUUGGGGGUUCGAAUCCCUCCGGGUGUA
rnacentral:tRNA from 1 species